rnacentral:rRNA from 1 species
UACGUAGGGUGCAAGCGUUGUCCGGAAUCAUUGGGCGUAAAGCGCGCGUAGGUGGCUUCGUAAGUCCGUUGUGAAAGUCAAAGGCUCAACCUUUGAAAGCCGAUGGAUACUGCGGAGCUAGAGUACGGAAGAGGCGAGUGGAAUUCCUGGUGUAGCGGUGGAAUGCGCAGAUAUCAGGAGGAACACCGGCGGUGUAGACGGCUUUCUGGACCGUAGCUGACGCUGAGACACGAAAGCGUGGGUAGCAAACAGG